GAAAAUUCGAUGCAUGAGCCCCUUUUUGCGAAAAUCUAACCCUAAUUAGUGAAGUGGCAUAAAGGAAGAAGGUACAAGCACCAAGAAAACGGAAGGAGCGCAAGAUCGAGAUGGCUGAUGCAAGAAAUAUUAAUGAUGAUAAUGAUGAUAACAAUGAUGCGGCUAGACAAGAAGCAUUCGAGAACAAAGUUACGGAAGUAGCGGAAGG